rnacentral:rRNA from 1 species
UGCGAACUCGUACGGGAGGCAGCAGUGAGGAAUAUUGGUCAAUGGGCGCGAGCCUGAACCAGCCAAGUAGCGUGCAGGAUGACGGCCCUAUGGGUUGUAAACUGCUUUUGUAUGGGGAUAAAGUCAAUCACGUGUGAUUGUUUGCAGGUACCAUACGAAUAAGGACCGGCUAAUUCCGUGCCAGCAGCCGCGGUAAUACAGAAGGUCCAGGCGUUAUCCGGAUUUAUUGGGUUUAAAGGGAGCGUAGGCUGGAGAUUAAGUGUGUUGUGAAAUGUAGACGCUCAACGUCUGAAUUGCGGCGCAUACUGGUUUCCUUGAGUACGCACAACGUUGGCGGAAUUCGUCGUGUAGCGGUGAAAUGCUUAGAUAUGACGAAGAACUCCGAUUGCGAAGGCAGCUGACGGGAGCGCAACUGACGCUUAAGCUCGAAGGUGCGGGUAUCAAACAGGAUUAGAUACCCUUGUAGUCCUGAGU